rnacentral:rRNA from 1 species
UACGAGGGGAGCUAGCGUUGCUCGGAAUCAUGCUAGGGCGUAAGGUGCGUAGGCGGGUCUUUAAGUCAGGGGUGAAAUCCUGGACUCAACUCCAGAACUGCCUUGAUACUGAAGAUCUUGAGUUCGGGAGAGGUGAGUGGAACUGCGAGUGUAGAGGUGAAAUUCGUAGAUAUUCGCAAGAACACCAGUGGCGAAGGCGGACUCACUGGCCCGAUACUGACGCUGAGGCACGAAAG